rfam:Triticum aestivum genome assembly, contig: Triticum_aestivum_CS42_TGACv1_scaffold_570150_7AS
AUCAUACUCUCUCCGUCCGGAAAUACUUGUCAUCAAAAUGAAUAAAAGGGAUGUAUCUAGAUGUAUUUUAGUUCUAGAUACAUCAUUUUUUGUUCAUUUUAAUGACAAGUAUUUUCGGACGGAGGGAGUAUAUU